rnacentral:misc_RNA from 1 species
CUGUGUUUCCUGCAAGCCAGUUUUUGCCGGUAACUUGUCUGAAAACCAUUGUGUUUAAGAUUUACUACAAUGUAAACAAGCAAUAUGAUUUUAAUUUACCAUGCCAUCUGAUUCAAAACCUGUUCUCUUAUUGAUAUUGGAAGUUAAGAUCCCAUGGUACUGGUUCCAUAUGAAAUACUACUACUGAAUUUUACUCUGAAAAAUUGAUGCAGAAGAAUUAAAGUUGUGUUAAUCAAAAUAAGUUGAUUACAUGUAUUGAGUAAACAUAUUCUGGACUGCAUGGUAUGUUUGGACCACUUUUGCUGUUUUAUGCUUACAUUCUUUGCCAGUUAUUUCUUGCUAAUCAAUUCAUGACAGAUUUAUGUAAUAAAAGCUUUUAAUAAU